rnacentral:rRNA from 1 species
AACAAACGCUGGCGGCGUGCCUAAUACAUGCAAGUCGAACGGGGAAAGCUUUCGGGUGAGUACUAGUGGCGCACGGGUGAGUAACGCGUGGAUAAUCUGCCUUAGAGUGGGGGAUAACUAGUCGAAAGAUUAGCUAAUACCGCAUAAGACCACAAGAACUGCGGUUCGAGGGGUCAAAGGUUUUUCGCUCUAAGAUGAGUCCGCGUAAGAUUAGCUAGUUGGUAGGGUACGGGCCUACCAAGGCGACGAUCUUUAACUGGUCUGAGAGGAUGAUCAGUCACACUGGAACUGAGACACGGUCCAGACUCCUACGGGAGGCAGCAGUAGGGAAUAUUGCACAAUGGAGGAAACUCUGAUGCAGCGACGCCGCGUGAGUGAUGAAGGCCUUCGGGUCGUAAAGCUCUGUCGCAGGGGAAUAACACAAUGAAGGUACCCUGUAAGAAAGGAUCGGCUAACUUCGUGCCAGCCGCCGCUGUAACAC